rnacentral:snoRNA from 1 species
UGCCUCGUGGUACUUACCACAGGCUGUGUUUUUGCAUUGACUGUAUAGAAAAAGGAGGCAAAGUAACCUACCCCAUGUGCACCUCAGCCUAGGCCCUGUGCCUGGUCUGAAUUGUGAAUGAUGAGACAUGG